GAGCUCUCUCUGGGACACGGGUGAGGCGUUAGAUGCGUUUCGUUGUAACUCGGAAACGAGUCGCAUUUUGCAAUUAGUUGAGUCACCUGUGAAUCAUCUAUUCCAACACUCACACCACACCAUUCACCAGCUACAGUGAGUGCAAAAAUUUAAGCUAUCAAUCGACAUUUUGAUAAAUGAGCUUUCUGCUGCUGCUGCUGCUGCCGCUACCGUUGCUGUCGCUGCCCCCUGCCAUGUUGGUGAUGCGUUGUCUAAGAAGCAAAUAACAAAAGUUCCCCGCGAGUGUCGGUCGAACUCAAAUUGGCCGCCAGCUAUGGGCCAAGCAAAUACAACAUAUUUGUGGCUUAAACAAGUGGCUAAUAUUUGGCAACAAAUGGAAGUUGGAAUGCUCUUACUAAGGUAUAUUUAAAAAGUGUUCAAAAAGGUGAUACAACUUUUAAAAAUAUUCCAAAUAAAUGUGG
rnacentral:lncRNA from 1 species